rnacentral:tRNA from 1 species
UCCUCGGUAGCUCAGUGGUAGAGCAGAUGACUGUUAAUCAUCCGGUCGCUGGUUCGAAUCCGGCCCGGGGAGCCA